rnacentral:rRNA from 1 species
AACGAACGCUGGCGGCAUGCCUAACACAUGCAAGUCGAACGAGACCUUCGGGUCUAGUGGCGCAAGGGUGCGUAACGCGUGGGAACCUGCCCUUAGGUUCGGAAUAACUCCCCGAAAGGGGUGCUAAUACCGGAUAAUGUCUUCGGACCAAAGAUUUAUCGCCUUUGGAUGGGCCCGCGUUGGAUUAGCUAGUUGGUAGGGUAAAAGCCUACCAAGGCGACGAUCCAUAGCUGGUCUGAGAGGAUGAUCAGCCACACUGGGACUGGGACACGGCCCAGACUCCUACGGGAGGCAGCAGUGGGGAAUAUUGGACAAUGGGCGAAAGCCUGAUCCAGCAAUGCCGCGUGAGUGAUGAAGGCCUUAGGGUUGUAAAGCUCUUUUACCCGGGAUGAUAAUGACAGUACCGGGAGAAUAAGCUCCGGCUAACUCCGUG